rnacentral:pre_miRNA from 1 species
UCUAUGCUUUGAUAGCCCUGUACAAUGCUGCUUGAACUCCAUGCCACAAGGCAACACUGUAAAGAAGCUGAAAGCAGAGAG